rnacentral:misc_RNA from 1 species
AAUGUGAGGACCACCCCAAAUAUUAAUAUAAUUGAGAAAUGUGGUCGGCAUAAGCUGGAAGUGUUGGCAUUAGCUCAUAACUCCAUAGCAGGUGUUGAACCCAGUUACCAGAAAUUUCCUUGCUUGAAAUCACUCGCUUUGAGCUUUGUUAGUAUCUCUGCUUUGGAUUUAAGCCUUCUGCUGACUGCCUGUCCAAAAAUUGAGACCUUGACCCUUAUUAAUCCCGAUGUUGUCAUGUCCGAUGCACAGGCAACUAUGGAACUUACCAGUUCCUCACUCAAGGAUAUUUAUGUUGAAGCGAUUAGUUUGGACAAAUUCAUAUUGGAGGCCGAUAGUCUUGAGAAGUUGCAUUUGAAAGAUUGUACUCUGGAGCUCUUUGAGCUUAUUGGCAAGGGGUCCUUGAGGGUUCUAAAGAUUGAUGAUGUAAGUGUCCUCCAACUUGAUAUUGGUGAGAGCACAGCUAACCUUGAGGUUGUGGAUGUUAGCAACUUCACCAUCACGGGGC